rnacentral:lncRNA from 1 species
UCAGAGGGCUGUUGGAGGAGUAGAUGAGGUGCUACAUGCAGGGCCCUGAGAACUGUCCUGUCGCUCAGGAAGCAAGUUUUGCAGGGUGUGGACAAUCGGGCAAGUGACUGCAUGUGACAACAGAGAGAGGGCAUGGUACACGGUGGCAGAUGAGCCCGGGACUGGAGGCAGAUCUGGGUUCCAGUUCGGGCUCUACCAGCAGCACCCAUGUGUCCUUCUGUUCUCUGGGCCUCAAUUUCCUGUUGUAAAAUUCAGAACUUGGAAGAGGUAAGUGGUUAGGUCAUUCCUGAGACAUCCCAGAUAAUCACAGCCAUCCAAACGUUGGCUCGGGAGCCCUGAGUAACCAAGACUGCAGGAAGCAACAGUUUAGUAAGGGUUCAGAAUCCUGUGAUUAGGGCUCGAGAAUGAAAUACUCUUCUAAGAGCUUCUCCCAGACCAAAAGGAGCUAAUUAGGAAAGAAUGGUGGCAUUCUCUGGGCAAACUGGAGGAGCCCCUGGGCUUGGCCUCCUUAUGCCUUCCUCCUUGACCCUCCUCUAGCCCCCUUGGACACAACACAACGUCCCCCCUCUGCUUUUUCCCCAGAUACUAUGGUAAACCUGCUCUCAGAUCUUUCUCCACACCUAGAAAAAUUCAUUCAUCGACUAUACACUUUAAUGAAUAUGCACUUACUAUGUACCAGAUAUUCUUUGGCUGCUAGGGCAGAGCAGCAGGGACAUAGCCCCUGUCCCCGUGGGGUCAACAUGCUGGUGGAGGGAGUCAGAGGUAAUAAAAUAAGCAAGUAAGACACACAGUAGAGCAGGCAGAGUUGGCGGAGAACUGGAUCUAACUGGGUUGGGGUUUUGCCAAGCAAGUACAGUCCAACUUGGAGUGUGGAGGGAAGGGUAUAGAAAAGGUAGGGACUAGAAUAACUAACCCUGGAAUUUAGGCUGGGAAAGGAGGGAGUAGGGAUUUGAAAGCGGGUGAGGUCAGUAGUCUGUGGGGCCCUGAGGGGCGAUGGCUCCAAGGCACGAGCCGGAAAGAGGUUUGACAGUGGCUUCUCUGGAGGGCUCAAGCUUGACCAGGAAACUGAGUGCCGAGCCCUGGAAGAUCACUGGGGAGAGGAGGUCAAAGAACUGGGAGGCCAGGGCACCAUCGGCGGGCUGAACUACAGAAAGGGACAGAGCUGUUUAUGUCAUGAAAAGCAGGCCUGAGCAUUAGAAGACUGAGAAACACCUGGGAGGAUCUUGUUUCAACAGAGCUCAAAGCCGUGGCAAAAGGACGGAGCUCGAAUUGUGCAAUUGAGGAGUUAAGGACACGGGAUCUGGCCGGGCACCAUGGCUCACACCUGUAAUUCCAGCACUUUGGGAGGCCAAGGUGGGCGGAUCACUUGAGUUCAAGAGUUCAAGAUCGGCCUGGGCAACAUGGCCAGGCAACAUGUAAAAAUACAAAAUUUAGCUGGGUGUGGUGGUGGGCGCACCUGUAAUCCCAACUACUUGGGAGGCUGAGAUGGGAGAAUCAUUUGAACCUGGGAGGUGGAGGGUGCAGUGAACUGUGAUUGUACCACUGCACUCCAGCCUGGGUGACAGAGUAAGACCUCGUCAAAAAAAAAAAUCCAAAAAUGUGGGAUCUGUUUAAACCCUGGCUCUGCUCCCUGCUACUCAUUACCCUCAUCUGUGCAGCAGGGGUGAUACCAGCCCUCACCCCUCUGUUUCUGAGAAGUAGAUGAGCGUGUAUGUGCACAGAGACCUGCCUGCAGUGUUGUGAGGACUCACAAAAUGUUGGCUAGAUAUCCUAAUCUUUCUCAUGUUUGUUGGCAAACAAAAACAGGCUGAGAUGGCCCUGUGCCAUUCGUAUAUCUGUGUGUGGAAUAACAGACAGUAUAAAGCUGAAAAGCAGGUCCCUCCCUGGCUAAUUGCAUUUCAGCAGCCGCUGGGAGGCAGUGUGGCGGGGGGCGGGGAGUGAAACUGUGCGGGGAGUCAGGGAGCCUGGGUUUCCUCCUCAGCCAAUGAGGCCAAGGCCAAAUCAGGAUGUCCCUGAGCCCCUGUUUGCCUACCUGUAACGUGGGGAUGACGGUUCCUGCCAGGUACCCACAAGGCUGUUGUGAGGACUGAAUGAGGAAAUGCUCCUUGAAGAUAAAUGACAAUGCCACAGAAGAGCGGAUGCAGCUCCCCUGUGCUGAGUACUCACCUACUGUGUGCUGGGCACAGGGGCAGAGCCACCCACCCCUCCCUGCAGCAGUGCCUGGAAGGCAGGACCAGCAUCCUGAUAGCCAGAGUUGAGACAGAGUUUAAGGGCCUGCCAGGCAUAACUCCCUCGCCAGGCAUAGAAAUAAAGGAACAUCUUGAGUUCUUUCAAGGGAAGUUCCAGGCACCUAGCUAGCCCUGAGAGUAAAUGAACAACAUGAUAAGCAAGAAGGAAAUAAUAGCUUUUCAAAAAAAAUAGCCAAGGAAGUUAGAGUCACAAAAUACUUGGUUCCCUAUUGAAACUUAAGAUAACAUCUUAAUAUAUGUUCCUGAGUUGUUUUUCAGAAACCCAGGCCCCCAGCAAAUGGAAAAUGCCAUCCACUGGCACAGAGACUUCAGUUGGGAGCCGAGGACUGAACUCAGACCACCAUUCUUUGUUCAACAUUUCUUCCUGAGGGGCCUGGAGGAAGUCACACCCACAGGCCAGAGCUCAACAUUCCUUUCUGCUGACCCCAGGCACCAGUCCAUGGCACUCCCUAUGCCUGCAGGAUACCACAUCAAAGCAGAGUUGGGGGAGCAUUUCAGGAGGUUCCUGUGAAAAACCUACAUGCACACACCCCCACGUGCAGCUGCAGACUGCUAUCUAUACACGAAGUUAUGCAUCGCAGAGUCGACUGCAAAAGGCUGGAGCCCACACAGCGUCUAUCAAUAGGGAACGGGUUAAAUCGACCACAAGAUUUCCAUAUGACGAUGGAACACUUUCCAGCCAAGAAAGGAGGAGGAAGUCCUCACUGCUCUGAUACGGAACAGUCACCAAGACAUAUUUUAAGUAAAAAAAAGGCAGCAUGCAUAACCAGGGAAAUGAAAACUAAAACCACAGUGAGUUACAAUUUCACACAGAUCCAUCUACAAAAAAAAAAAAGCUGAUAAUUGCAGGUGUUGGUGAAGAAGUGGAGUGAGGGGAAUGCUCAAACUACUAGUGGGUGUGCGAAUGGUUAUAACCACUUUUUAAAAUUUUGGCAUUAUCUACUGAAGUUGACAAUGUACUUUCCCAAUGGCCUUGCAAAUGCCCUGGAGAAGUUCUUACCCAACCCCCGCCAUUCCCCCCAACACACACCAAAAGAAACAAUUAAGAACAUUUGCACCAGCUCUGUUCCUAGAACCCCAAAACUGAGGCCAGCACUGAGGCCAAGCACAGUGGCUCAUGCCUGUAAUCCCAGCAGGCAUGAGCCACCCUUUGGGAGCCUGAGGCCGGAGGAUUAUUGAGGUUGAGAGUUCAAGACCAGCCUGGGCAACAUAGUGAGACCUUGUCUCUAUAAAAGAAGUUUUAAAAAUUAGCCAGGUGUGAUGGCUCAUGCUUGUAGUCCCAGCUAAUUGGGAGGCUGAGGUAGGAGGAUCGUUUCUUGAGCCCUGGAGGUUGAGGCUGCAGUGAGCCAUGAUUGCACCACUGCACUCCAGCCUGGGCAACAGAAUGAGACCCUGUCUCAAAAAAUAAAAUUAAAUUAGAAAACAAUAAUAAUUAUUAUUAAUAAAUAAAAUAGUCCAAUGAAAAUAAUCAUACUAUCUCCAUGCAAUGGAAUUCUAUACAAGAGUGAAAAUGAACUAACUCCGGACAUGCGUAUCAGUACACUGAACUUCAGAACUAUAAUUAUGGGUGGGACAAAAGCCAGCCAUAGAAAACUAUUCUAUUCAUAAUCCCAAAAAGGUAGUAUACCAUAUUCAAUUAUUAUAUAUAUUUAUGUCUUGUUAUAUAUAAUGUUUAUUACAUUUAUCUUAGUAUAAAAAUAUAGUAUAUUUAUCAUAAUCUAUUAUAAACAAGUAGUAGGAUUAUAAAAAGACAAAAAGGGCAGGAUAAGCGUAAAAUUCAUGAUAGUAUUUAGGGGAAGAGGAGGGUGGGGCUGGAGAGAGGCACAUGGUUUCAAAAGCCCAGCUUCUUUGUCUAAAACAGGGCGUGGGUACCCAUACUGGUCUAUUGUAUUGUGGGUGUCUUUAAAAUGUAUAUAUAUUCUAUAACUACUAUUUUUGUAUCUACUCAAUAUUUAAUUUUAAAAUUUUAAAUGAGGCCUAGAACACUAUAAAAAGUAUGCUACCAUUUGUAUAGAAAAAGUGGACACACACAUCACUCAUGUGCAUAGAUUAAAGUGUCUCUGGAAACUUACACAUGCAACUGGUGAAACUGGUUUCCUCUGGGGAGGAGAACUGGGAGGCUGGGGACAAGGAGGGGCAAUAAAUCAAUUGAAAUUAAAAAUCACAAAAUUUAAGGAGAAGGAGACAAAGAAGGGAAGGAGGAAGAGAAGGGAGGGUGGAGGGGAGAGGCCAAGUCCUGGUCCCAGGAGGGACAGGGAGCAGAAAGAGGAGGACUGGCCAGGCUCUGGCUAUCAAAACCUGUGUGUGCCACAGGCACGAGUGGAGCCAGAAGCCUGCAGUCCUGCCCAGGAAAGCCUGUGUCCUCCGCGCACAACUCAGGCUUAGACCCAGAGAAUGCUCUUUCUUGCACCUGAGGACGGGGCUGGCUUCAAACAGUUGCCCAGGUUGACCCUGGCUCUGCAGUCUUUUGUUUCCAGAGCUUUGCUUCCAAACGAGGCUCCCUUGGGUCUCUUUCCCUGGCCCUGCCUUCUUAUCUCCAACCUUCACCCCACCUGUGAUCCAAGCGAUUCCUUUGAAGUUGCUUCAGAGUCUUCUGAGCCUUCAUCCUUGAUGACUCUGAAAUGUGCGUCUGUGGCACCAAGGUCAGCCAACAGCAAGUAGGCCCUUUUCAUCUCCUUUUAAACCUUCCCCUCAAGGACUCAGUGUCCUUGCUGUAUUGCCUUAUCAAAACCUGCUCACAUAUCCUUUGUUCACACUGGGAUACCGGUCAUUUAAAGGAAAACAGGCCCACUCUAACCAGGGUCACUGCCAAGUCCCUAAGUAUCAUGCCCUUGAGAGGUAAAAGCAUAAAGCACUAAGGGUAGAAUUUUGGGCAACAGCCAGUGGACAAGGACAAAAUGGGUGCAAUAUGCAGGGGUCCCUUCUGCCCCACCGGUAACCAUAACACCUCAGGACACAGGCUGGGGUCUGUAUUCAAAAGUGGGUCCCUCAGACCGGGCACAGUGGCUCACGCCUAUAAUCCCAGCACUUUGGGAAGCCAAGGCCAGCGGAUCCCUUGAGCCCAGGAGUUUGUGACCAGCCUGAGCAACAUGGCGAAACCCCAUCUCUACAAAAAAUACCAAAAUUAGUCUAGUCGGGCAUGGUGGUGCACACACCUAUGGUCCCAGCUAUUUGGGAGGCUGAGGGGGGAGAAUCGCUUGAGCCCCAGGAGGCAGAGAUUGCAGUGAGCUGUGAUCGAGCCACUGCACUCCAGCCUGGGCAACAGAGUGAGACCCUAUCUCAAGAAAACAAAAACAGAAAGUAAAAAAGCAAUCCUCGAGCAAAAGUGGGUCCCUCAGAGCCCAAUGACAGUGAUGAGGAGGAUGAGGUGGGAAAGGUAGUGUUACUCUGAACUAAAAAGGACUGCCCAGUGUGACCCUAUCUCCCAAACAGCCCAUGCAGGGAUCUGGGUGGCACCAUAGUACAGAAGUGGGUGCCAAGAGAGGCCUGGGCUGCACAGCCAGGUGCAUACAUGCCCUGGAGUCCAGGACAGGAUCAGCAGCAAAUCCACUCCAGGGAGCUCUCCCCCCUCACCAUCCUCUCAAUCAGGGUUCCCCAGUUGAAAAGCACCUUGGCAGUUCAUAAUUCUCCCUCUAAAGCCAGAAAGUGCUGUAAAGGAUAACAGAAGCCUGGCUGCACAGUGGAGCUUAAUGGAAGUCAUUCAACAAGCAGGUCUGGAGCAAACAUCAUGGACCAGCAGUACUGUGUGUUGGCACAGAUGUGAAGCAACUAUACUCUGAUACGGCUUGGAUAUGUGUCCCCACCCAAAUCUCAUAUUGAAUUUUAAUUCCCAGUGUUAGAGGAGGGGCCGGGUGGGAGGUGACUGGAUCAUGGGGGCAGAUUUCCCCCUUACUGUUCUCACGAUAGUGAGUUCUCAGAUCUGGUUAUUUUAAAGUGUGUAGCACCUCCCACUUUGCUCCCUUCCUCCUGCUUUGGCCAUGUAAGAUGUGCCUGCUUCGCCUUCCCCUUCCGCCAUGAUUCUAUGUUUCCUGAGGCCUCCCCAGCCAUGCUUCCUAUACAGUCUGCAGAACCGUGAG